rnacentral:rRNA from 1 species
AAAAGCACCCCGGAAGGGGAGUGAAAGAGAUCCUGAAACCGUGUGCCUACAAGUAGUUAGAGCCCGUUAAUGGGUGAUAGCGUGCCUUUUGUAGAAUGAACCGGCGAGUUACGAUUUGAUGCAAGGUUAAGCAGUAAAUGUGGAGCCGUAGCGAAAGCGAGUCUGAAUAGGGCGUUUAGUAUUUGGUCGUAGACCCGAAACCAGGUGAUCUACCC